UGAUAUCAGCGAUUCGUGUCUUAAGAUAGCC
rnacentral:piRNA from 1 species